CUUUCCUGUAGUUUCCUGAUAAAAGGUCCUUUGGAAACUUUGAUUCUCUUCUCACCAAGUUGAACGGAGAUGUGUUCCCAUAGUAAGAGUGAGGCCCCUGCAUUUGCUGCCCUCGGUUUUCCCAACUAACACCAGGGCCUCCCCCCUGUACCCCAUUCAUAUGCCUCAGAAGCUGACAAUGACUGUUGGGCUUUUCCAAUGAAUACCAGAACACCAUUUCCUGCAGCCUGAAAAGAAGACAGUAUAAUUGUUUGGCAGCAAGAGAAUCCAGGUGCCCUUCCAUGAGAAGCCCAAGCCAUGUGGAGAAGCCACGUCUAGGGACUCCAGUUAACACUCUCAGCUGAGUCCCCAGCUGACAGUCAGCAUCAACUGCCAGCCACCUCUGUCUAAAAGUGGGCUAUCUUGGGCAUCCAGCCCAGUCAAGCCUUCAGAUGAGUCCAGUCCCAGCCACUAUCUCACACAACCACACGAGAGACAUCAAGAACUCCCAGUGGAGUCCAGUCAGCCCAUGGAACUGCAAGAGACAGGAUCUCGCUGCGUUGCUCAGACUGGUCUCGAACUCCUGGGCUUAAGGGAUUCUCCUGCCUCAAUCACAGCCUCCCAAGUAGCUGAGAUUAAAAGUGCUCACCACCGUGCCAGCGAGUUCAGUUUUUGAGGGUGGAGCCAAGACUCUGAGGAGAGGGCUGAACUGUGAACCUAGAAGUACCAUCUCCCCCUGCACACACCUUUGGUCAAGUUGACCCCAAGAAGAAGGACAAGUCCUCUGCACGGCGAUGAGGCCAUACACACAGUCUGUGGCCCGGCUUUGGGAGACUGAUGGGACAAAGGAUGUUUUGCACGAUCCUUGGUCUCUGAGCAAAUAUAUACAUGGGUUAACA
rnacentral:lncRNA from 1 species